rnacentral:rRNA from 1 species
GAUGAACGCUGGCGGCGUGCCUAAUACAUGCAAGUCGAGCGAACAGACGAGGAGCUUGCUCCUCUGACGUUAGCGGCGGACGGGUGAGUAACACGUGGAUAACCUACCUAUAAGACUGGGAUAACUUCGGGAAACCGGAGCUAAUACCGGAUAAUAUAUUGAACCGCAUGGUUCAAUAGUGAAAGACGGUUUUGCUGUCACUUAUAGAUGGAUCCGCGCCGCAUUAGCUAGUUGGUAAGGUAACGGCUUACCAAGGCAACGAUGCGUAGCCGACCUGAGAGGGUGAUCGGCCACACUGGAACUGAGACACGAUCCAGACUCCUACGGGAGGCAGCAGUAGGGAAUCUUCCGCAAUGGGCGAAAGCCUGACGGAGCAACGCCGCGUGAGUGAUGAAGGUCUUCGGAUCGUAAAACUCUGUUAUUAGGGAAGAACAAAUGUGUAAGUAACUAUGCACGUCUUGACGGUACCUAAUCAGAAAGCCACGGCUAACUACGUG